rnacentral:RNase_P_RNA from 1 species
AAAGUUUGACAGACAAUCGCUGGUGGCUUCGCGCCACGAGAGGAAAGUCCGGGCUCCACAGGGCAGAAUGCUGGAUAACGUCCAGUCAGCGCGAGCUGAAGGAUCAGGGCCACAGAAAUGGACCGCCGAUGAUCUCUAUUCUCCCGAACUAGAUUCGGGGUAGAGAAACAGGCAAGGAUGGAACCGUGGUGUAAGAGACCACGAGGAGCACUGGCGACUUUGCUCCUGGUAAACCCCAUUUGGAGCAAGACCGAGGAGAACGCAGGCAACCGCCAGCCCUAGCCCGGGGUGCGUUCGGGUUGGUCGCUUGAGCCGUAUAGCAAUGUGCGGCCUAGAAAGAUGAUUGUCGCUUCAGUCCGUGGGAGGAUUGCCUUCGAGCAGUCCGCUAUGACCACUUGAAGUACAGAACCCGGCUUACGGCAAGCUUUCCGG